AUCUCUUCUCAGCCUUUUGGCUAAGAUCAAGUGUAGUAUCUGUUCUUAUCAGUUUAAUAUACCUACAAAUUUGAGAUUCUGCCCAGUCUUUGGGAUAGGCGGGCACCUGGUACAAGUAGCUCUGUCUCUUAGUAAUUCUUGCCUCAUCCCAG
rnacentral:snRNA from 1 species